rnacentral:rRNA from 1 species
CAGCAGCCGCGGGAACACGGAGGGUGCAAGCGUUAAUCGGAAUUACUGGGCGUAAAGCGCACGCAGGCGGUCUGACAAGUCAGAUGUGAAAUCCCCGGGCUUAACCUGGGAACUGCAUUUGAAACUGUCAGGCUGGAGUCUUGUAGAGGGGGGUAGAAUUCCAGGUGUAGCGGUGAAAUGCGUAGAGAUCUGGAGGAAUACCGGUGGCGAAGGCGGCCCCCUGGACAAAGACUGACGCUCAGGUGCGAAAGCGUGGGGAGCAAACAGGAUUAGAUACCCGAGUAGUCCCUGUCUCUUAUAC